AUUGAACGCUGGCGGCAGGCCUAACACAUGCAAGUCGAGCGGGGUUUUCGGACCUAGCGGCGGACGGGUGAGUAAUGCGUAGGAAGCUGCCCGAUAGAGGGGGAUCCCAGUUGGAAACGACUGUUAAUACCGCAUAAUGUCUACGGACCAAAGUGUGGGACCUUCGGGCCACAUGCUAUCGGAUGCGCCUACGUGGGAUUAGCUAGUUGGUGAGGUAAUGGCUCACCAGGGCGACGAUCUCUAGCUGGUUUGAGAGGAUGAUCAGCCACACUGGAACUGAGACACGGUCCAAACGCCUACGGGAGGCAGCAGUGGGGAAUAUUGGACAAUGGGCGCAAGCCUGAUCCAGCCAUGCCGCGUGUGUGAAGAAGGCCUUCGGGUUGUAAAGCACUUUCAGCGAGGAGGAAGGGUGGUGUGUUAAUAGCACAUCAUUUUGACGUUACUCGCAGAAGAAGCACCGGCUAACUCUGUGCCAGCAGCCGCCGUAA
rnacentral:rRNA from 1 species